GCAGAUAUGGUUCAUCGGCAGAACGCCGGCUUCCCAAGCCGGAGAGACGGGUUCGACUCCCGCUAUCUGCU
rnacentral:tRNA from 1 species